UUCAGCUGACUGAUUUUCUUUUCAGUCUCUUCACCUAAUCAACGUUUUCUAAAUUAAGAAAUUGUUCCUGACGAAUUAGAUUGAUUAUUCUGAAUUUCCAAACCAGUUAUACAAUUUAACUGAUUCUUCAAUCACAAUUAUCGAUUUUAUUUAGAUUGUGAUCGGAAAUUGGCUGAAUCUCCAAGAUUAGUUAACCAACAUGUCUACUUCUCCGUCUGAAUCUUCACAAAUUUCUAAAGAGGUUCCAACUGAUGGCUCGGAUGAAGAGGAAACUGUUGAAGAGAAAGAUCAAUUGACGGAAGAAAAGAAUGAAGAAACUAAAGACUCAGCGAUCGAAGAUUUAAUGGCUCGAAUGUCACGUCUGGAUGAUCUCACGUCACUGCUUUCGCAGGUCACUAUUGAUAUUCCAAGUAUAGAGGAUGAUUACCAGAGUAUAAUGGAAAAAUUCCUUGGGAUAGACACUGGUUCAAAGAAAGAAGUUGUCGGAGGUGUGACAAGUGAAAGAAAACUCGGAGAAGGCCAAAGUUCAUCUCAUUCGGAAGGUCAAGAUUCCACUUGAAAAUCUCCAUUGGAUGUGGAACAUUUGUUGACCCUGUAAAUUCAAUUUACACUUUUCUAUGAUAAAGUCUUCCAAUUCUCUCACAACAAUCAGAUCAAAUUUGAACAUUCAAUUGUCAAUUCGUAAACAAAAUCUACCAAAGGUAGAAGAAUAUUGAAGUUCUGACCUCUACUGAGAAUAGGCAAAUAUAACAAGGUCAAAGGUGAAUAAAUUAUGAAAGAGUAUUCCAACUCUAUAACGAUGCUUUUGAUUCACUUCUAAUAUAUUGAUUCUUUGAUUUACUAUCAGUUGAGAUGAAGCUCUUGGCAUUAAUUGUUUGGUUACUAUGGGUAAACAAUCAAGAGAUAAUGAUGGACGAAGACCUUGAUUCGAGCGGAUCAGAUGAUUAUCAACACUGAUUGCAGAUUUAUUUGAUUGUUAUGACUCUCGGUGAUGGCAACAAUAAACCACCAUGAGAUUAAUAAUUUAAAUUUCACUCAAUUAAUACGAACAAGGGAGAUCAAGAUAAAGAUUUGAUUAACAAUCAAUUAACGCGAGAAAGGAUUUUCUUAUUAACCAAGGAAAAGCUUCAAUGCUAAUUUAAGAAACAUCCUAAUUGAUUGCUGAACAAAAUCAAGGCUUAAAAACAAACAUGCGACAAUUAAUUCAAUGAUGAGCCUCAACUUAAAAUAUGAAGCAACAAUUAAGACUAAUUGGCUUAUAUUUUCAAAAGAAACUCACAAUUAAAACCAGAAUAUGAAACUAAUUCUGUUGACGAGUAAAACUGUUCCUCUAAUUUUUAGAAACUUUGUUUACAAUUAAGAGGAAACAAUUAAUUUCUUGGUUGAUUUUAUAAUUGCUCUUGGAACAACAAUUAGGUUAACAACAAUAAAUGAAUAAUUAAAGUGAAAAUAAUUGCAAUUUAUACUUG